AACGAACGCUGGCGGCAGGCCUAACACAUGCAAGUCGAGCGAGGACUUCGGUCCUAGCGGCGGACGGGUGAGUAACGGGAGGGAACGUUCCCUUUUCUUCGGAAUAGCCCUUGGAAACUGGGAGUAAUACCGGAUGAGCCCUUUGGGGGCAAGAUUUAUCGGCGAAGGAUCGGCCCGCGUUGGAUUAGGUAGUUGGUCGGGUAAUGGCCUACCAAGCCGACGAUCCAUAGCUGGUUUGAGAGGAUGAUCAGCCACACUGGGACUGUGACACGGCCCAGACUCCUACGGGAGGCAGCAGUGGGGAAUCUGAGACAAUGGGGGAAACCCUGAUCUAGCCAUGCCGCGUGAGCGAUGAAGGCCUUAGGGUUGUAAAGCUCUUUCAGCUGGGAAGAUAAUGACGGUACCAGCAGAAGAAGCCCCGGCUAACUACGUG
rnacentral:rRNA from 1 species